rnacentral:rRNA from 1 species
UGGGGUAUAUUGGAUAAUGGGCGAAAGCCUGAUCCAGCCAUGCCGCGUGUGUGAAGAAGGUCUUCGGAUUGUAAACCACUUUAAGUUGGGAGGAAUGGCAGUAAGCGAAUACCUUGCUGUUUUGACGUUACCGCCAGAAUAAGCACCGGCUAACUCUGUGCCAGCAGCCGCGGUAAUACAGAGGGUGCAAGCGUUAAUCGGAAUUACUGGGCGUAAAGCGCGCGGAGGUGGUUCGUUAAGUUGAAUGUGAAAGCCCCGCGCUCAACCGGGGAACUGCAUCCUAAACUGGCGGGCUAGAGUAGGGCAGAGGGUGGGGGAAUUUCCUGUGUAGCGGUGAAAUGCGUAGGUAGAGGAAGGAACACCAGUGGCGAAGGCGAAGACCUGGGCUCAUAAUGACACUGAGAUGCGAAAGCGUGGGGAGCAAACAGG